UACGUAGGGUGCAGGCGUUAAUCGGAAUUACUGGGCGUAAAGCGUGCGCAGGCGGUUUCUUAAGUCAGAUGUGAAAGCCCCGGGCUUAACCUGGGAACUGCGUUUGAAACUGGGAGACUUGAGUGUGGCAGAGGGGGGUGGAAUUCCACGUGUAGCAGUGAAAUGCGUAGAGAUGCGGAGGAACACCGAUGGCGAAGGCAGCCCCCUGGGCCAACACUGACGCUCAGGCACGAAAGCGUGGGGAGCAAACAGG
rnacentral:rRNA from 1 species